CCGUUUGAUCCUGCCGGAGGCCAUUGCUAUCAGGGUUUGACUAAGCCAUGCGAGUCGAGAGGUGUAAGACCUCGGCAUACUGCUCAGUAACACGUGGUUAACCUGCCCUAAGGUGGAGAAUACUCCCGGGAAACUGGGGCUAAUGCUCCAUAGUGGAUAUGUCCUGGAAUGGUAUAUCCUCGAAAGAUCCGUCGCCUUAGGAUGGGACUGCGUCCGAUUAGGUUGUUGGCGGGGUAACGGCCCACCAAGCCUUUUAUCGGUACGGGUUGUGGGAGCAAGAUCCCGGAGAUGGAUUCUGAGACAUGAAUCCAGGCCCUACGGGGCGCAGCAGGCGCGCAAACUUUACAAUGCGAGCAAUCGUGAUAAGGAAACCCUGAGUGCCUGUCGAUGCAGGCUGUUCAUAUAUCUAAAUCAUAUGUGAAGAAAGGGCAGGGCAAGACCGGUGCCAGCCGCCGCGGUAAUACCGGCUGCUCGAGUGAUGGCCACUAUUACUGGGUUUAAAGCGUCCGUAGCUUGACUGUUAGGUCUCUUGGGAAAUCUUCGCGCUCAACGUGAAGGCGUCUAAGAGAUACCGGCAGUCUUGGAACUGGGAGAGGUAAACCGUACUUCGGGGGUAGGAGUGAAAUCUUGUAAUCCUCGAGGGACGACCUAUGGCGAAGGCAGUUUACCAGAACAGCUUCGACAGUGAGGGACGAAAGCUGGGGGAGCAAACGGGAUUAGAUACCCCGGUAGUCCCAGCCGUAAACAAUGUGCGUUAGGUGUGUCGGUAACCACGUGUUACUGAUGCGCCGAAGAGAAAUCGUGAAACGCACCACCUGGGAAGUACGGUCGCAAGGCUGAAACUUAAAGGAAUUGGCGGGGGAGCACCACAACAGGUGGAGCCUGCGGUUUAAUUGGAUUCAACGCCGGACAUCUCACCGGAUAAGACAGCUGAAUGAUUGUCAAUCUGAAGGUUUUACAUGACUAGCUGAGAGGAGGUGCAUGGCCGUCGUCAGUUCGUACUGUGAAGCAUCCUGUUAAGUCAGGCAACGAGCGAGACCCA
rnacentral:rRNA from 1 species